ACAUGUUUCCAUUACUAUACCUACUUUUGCAGCCCCCUGUAUAUCAUCGAAAUAUUAUUUCGGUUUGAGGAUCGGACUAAGUAAGUGUCGAAAUCUCUUGAGACAUCUGAUAAUUUAAAGAAAUAACGAGUCAUCUUAUAACUUAUAAAGUAGUCUUAUUGAGUCUUAUAACUAAGCCAAUAAGGUUAGGGUGGUGGCUUGGGAUCCUAGGGUCCUGAGUUCAAGCCCUGUUGGCCACUGAAUUAAAAUACACCAGGAGGUUGACUCAGCCUGUCAUCCUUCCAAGGUCGGCAAAAUCAGUACCAGUGUACGGGUCACCUACGUGUCCAUGUGUGCUCUCCCCCUGUGUGUAACGGCUUCGAUGUCCAUCGGCAUGCAACAUUUCAGCUUUCAUUAUCACCCGGAAGAGCUGUCAGUUGCCUUUCCACCACCCACAUAAAGGUAUGCGUCAGAAGAACGUGUUGCUUGCUCACUUGGAACAAGAUUGCCCGUCGGAAUGUUGAAGUUGUAGAGAGAGGGAGAGAGAGAAAGCAGGUCUUCAGCAGUUUCAGAACAGGAACAAUUUGUGGUGUUAAUGGCCAUAGCAUAUGCUUGAAGCAAAGGAAGCCAUGUCCACCGACCCUCAAAUGUGCUGCUAAUCCUCUCAACACAUCUACUUUUCGAUUCCAUCAAACCAUGUAUCCCGGUGAUUCGUGGAUCGACAACCCGAAGGAAUGGCCGAACGUGCAAUACCCGGACGGAUACACGUGUCUAGUCAAGACACCAGGAGUGUUUACACAUGAAGCAAUGAAAAACUACCGUUCACUGGAAGUCCACAAAUGUUUUGUCUCUGGUUGGGAGCAGACUGUGCUACACAAAAAUGUUGGAGGUAACCAUGUUAGAGCCUCUAAUAUUUGUUUGAUCAACCAUCAAACUCUAACAUUUG
rnacentral:lncRNA from 1 species